UUAAUUUCAGUAAAAAAAGCAUCAAAUUUGUACUUAUAAAGCAAUAAAAAGAAAUAUGUUUAUUACAAGCAAACCAGAAAAAUUAAAUAUGGCUCAAAUUUUUAUGUUUGCUUCUGCUUUGAUCAUUUUUCUUUCCCUAUUUGUUGUUGUAAUGGGCAUAACAAGUACCAUUCCCUGCACGUCUAACGCUGAUUGUAAAGUAGUUGAUGGUUUCGAAGGUGAGUGUGCUAAUGGCUUUUGUGAGUACUAUAGGACAUAGGUGUGGAUCACUUGAAUAUAUGAAGGGAAAGACAUAUCUGCAUGAAUAAACGGAAGAACAAUAAAAGAGCAUGUUUGGAUUUUAGAUUCGUGCUCAUUAUCUACAAUUUGUUAAUAAAAAAGCUAUUAUUUAUUUUCACUUAUAUGAAGAUGAUACAUGCUUGUAACAAAAAAAUGUAUUAUAUAAUUACAUAAAUUAAUGAUUUAUAAUUAUGCUUCUACA